rnacentral:rRNA from 1 species
GAUGAACGCUGGCGGCGUGCCUAAUACAUGCAAGUCGAGCGAACAGACGAGGAGCUUGCUCCUCUGACGUUAGCGGCGGACGGGUGAGUAACACGUGGAUAACCUACCUAUAAGACUGGGAUAACUUCGGGAAACCGGAGCUAAUACCGGAUAAUAUAUUGAACCGCAUGGUUCAAUAGUGAAAGACGGUUUUGCUGUCACUUAUAGAUGGAUCCGCGCCGCAUUAGCUAGUUGGUAAGGUAACGGCUUACCAAGGCGACGAUGCGUAGCCGACCUGAGAGGGUGAUCGGCCACACUGGAACUGAGACACGGUCCAGACUCCUACGGGAGGCAGCAGUAGGGAAUCUUCCGCAAAGGGCGAAAGCCUGACGGAGCAACGCCGCGUGAGUGAAGAAGGUCUUCGGAUCGUAAAACUCUGUUAUUAGGGAAGAACAAAUGUGUAAGUAACUAUGCACGUCUUGACGGUACCUAAUCAGAAAGCCACGGCUAACUACGUG